UCUUCAAUGAUGAUUUAUACAGUGACUUUCGUUCUUCUGAUCCUACUGAAGCCAGUCUUUCUGUCCUGAGAAGA
ensembl:snoRNA small nucleolar RNA, C/D box 59A